rnacentral:rRNA from 1 species
AACGAACGCUGGCGGCGUGCUUAAGACAUGCAAGUCGAACGAGAAAGGGGCUUCGGCCCUGAGUACAGUGGCGCACGGGUGAGUAACGCGUGGGUAAUCUGCCUUCGGGAUCGGAACAACGUGGGGAAACCUGCGCUAAUUCCGGGCAAGACCACGGGGUCCUCGGACCCUGCGGCAAAAGGUGGCCUCUUCUUGAAAGCUAUCGCCCGAAGAUGAGCCCGCGUCCCAUUAGCUAGUUGGUGAGGUAACGGCUCACCAAGGCUGUGAUGGGUAGCUGGUCUGAGAGGACGAUCAGCCACACUGGAACUGAGACACGGUCCAGACUCCUACGGGUGGCUG